CCUACGGGAGGCAGCAGUGAGGAAUAUUGGUCAAUGGACGAGAGUCUGAACCAGCCAAGUAGCGUGAAGGAUGACUGCCCUAUGGGUUGUAAACUUCUUUUAUACAGGAAUAAAACGAGGCACGUGUGCCUUUUUGCAUGUACUUUAUGAAUAAGGAUCGGCUAACUCCGUGCCAGCAGCCGCGGUAAUACGGAGGAUCCGAGCGUUAUCCGGAUUUAUUGGGGUUAAAGGGAGCGUAGAUGGGUUGUUAAGUCAGUUGUGAAAUUUUGCGGCUCAACCGUAAGAUUGCCAUUGAUACUGGCAGUCUUGAGUACAGUUGAGGUAGGCGGAAUGCGUGGUGUAGCGGUGAAAUGCUUAGAUAUCACGAAGAACCCCGAUUGCGAAGGCAGCUUACUAACCUGUGACUGACAUUGAUGCUCGAAAGUGUGGGUAUCAAACAGGAUUAGAUACCCGAGUAGUC
rnacentral:rRNA from 1 species